GGGGUGUCGACUUCUGCAAGUACAAGUGUGGUCACAGCAAGCAGCUGGCCCAAGAAGAAGAUCAAGAAGUAGAGUGCCACCAAUCAGUUUAAUGGACCUGUUAAAAUCCAUCGCCGUGUCAAAUUUUAUGCUUCGUUAUUGUCUCCUGUGGUCGUUGAACCUUGUUUACUUUGCUUUCAGCCUCAUAUUGCUUUGGUGAUCUUUGAAAGAAAAUUUGUAUCAUGACUAUGAUGAAGGUAGAUGAUGUUGCUGCGUAAAUUGUGGUCAUUUUCAUCCUGCUACAGUCUGCUCUUAUAAAAUGUCUGCAGAAGAAUGUGUGAUCACACUGCUGACAUUGAGUUUUUAUCCCACCACCAAAUCGAAGUCCUCCUGGGCUAUCGCCUCUGCUUUCCACGAUCCCCAACAACUACAUACGCUCAUGAGAAGACGUGAGAAAAUUUGUAUAGUCAGACAAAUCCCGCAUCGGCUGGUGCGCGACGCCGCCGCUGUUUCACAGGCUUAACCUAUUUCUUUUUUGAGGAUUCCUUCACAGGCUUAAUCAAACCUGGCCACAUGUCCUGACUGUGUAUUAAAAAAAUGUUAAAAAAUUGGUACAGCCGGGACAUGUACCUUUUUCUUUUUUGACUAUGUAUUAGAAAAUGUAAAAAGAAAAAUGGUACAGCCGGGACAUAGUAAAAAAAGAAAUAGCCGACGCGGGAUAUAGUAAAAAAUCUUAAAAUUUGGUAGAGCCGGGAAAUGUACCAAUUUCUUUAAACGUUUUUCUAGAUUAAGCUGGGACAUCUACAUAGGCUUAACAUUUUUAAGCUUAACCAAACCUUUAUCUUUUUCUAGAUUUGUAUUUAAUAUUUUUCUAAUACAUAGUCAAAAAUUUUAUACCAAUUUUUAAAAAAUUCAAGCGCUUGGUUAACAUUUUUCGAAUACAAGGUUUAUGUUUUUUAAAUCAUAGUCAACAUUUUUCCUAUAAACAUUUUAAACCUUUUUCAAAUGCUUGAUUAACAUUUUUUAAAUACAGGAUUAACAUUCUUCUAAUACAUGGUAAUAUUUUUCUAUGAUUGUUUAAUAUUUUUCAAAUGCUUUAUCAAUAUCUUAAAAUGCAAGAUUAACACUUUUUUACUGCAUGGUCAAUAUUUUUUUUAUACACAUUUAAAAUUUUCCAAAUGCUUGACUAACAUUUUUGAAAUACUUAUUCAACAUUUUUUAAUGCUUGGUUAACAUUUUCAUCUGCAUGAUCAAAAGAUUUCAUCAUUUUUUCAUAUGUGGUCAAUAUUUUUUCAAAUGGUUUAUUAACAUUUAUUUCAAAUUUUUGAUUAACAUAUUUUAAAUACAUGAUCAAGUUUUAUAACAGACAUUAUAUAUUUGUUUGUAUAUAUUUCUCGCAUGCAUGGUCAACAUUUUUUAUACACAUUUAAAAUUUUGAAUGCAUGAACAUUAUGAAAAUUAUAAUUUGUAAUAUAUAUUUUUAGACUUUUUGGAGGUGUAAAGAAAAGUUUAAAAGAAAGUGAACAAAGAAAACAAAAGGAAAGGUGAAACAAACAUAAAAAAGAGGCAAUGGCCUCGCGCGAUCUGAGCCGGCCAUUUAGGCCGGCGCCUCAGCGACAGCUGAGUCUGUCUCGCAACGAGACAUAGUGGCGGGAGCUCCUAUUGGGGGAAUCCUAUUUGGCGCUUAUGCGCCCGCUCGCAAACCGGCGCCUGCAGGGCGCGGCUAGUUGGGCCCGGCCCAUCUUCCGCUUCCUUCAUAGAAAAAGCUGAUAAAAAAGGAAGCAUAGUUUGCCGGAUUCGAACCUAGGACCUAUAGGUUCGCAGAACAACGCAACAACCACAAGGAUAACGACCCACUUAUGAUACUUUAUUUCGUUUUUCCCUUCUUAUUCUUUCCAAAGAUCGCGAUGCCCGCGUAUUUUUUUCUUUUUGUUGUUUUUUCUCUGUUUCUCUUUUGUUUCCUUUUUCUUUUGCAAAUGCGCGAACAUUUCUUAAUUUUAUUUUUAUGAAUCAAUGAACCCUUUCUAAAAUUUGUGAACUUUUUUGUGAAUUGAUGAACUUUUUCAAAAUGGAUGAACUUUUUUCAAUUUUAGUGAACUUUUUUCAAAUCCGUGAACUUUUUUCAAAACCCAGUGAACUACUUUUUCAAAAUGGAUGAACUUUUUUCAAUUUUAAUGAACUUUUUUCAAAUCCAUGAACUUUUUUCAAAACCCGGUGAACUACUUUUUCAAAAUGGAUGAACUUUUUCCAAUUUUAAUGAACUUUUUUUCAAAUCCGUGAACUUUUUUCAAAACCCAGUGAACUACUUUUUCAAAAUGGAUGAACUUUUUUCAACUUUAAUGAACUUUUUUUCAAAUCCGUGAACUUUUUUCAGAAUCAGUGAUUUUUUUAAAUCCGUGAACUUUUUUCAAAACCCAGUGAACUUCUUUUGAAUUCGUGAUUUUUUCAUUCAAAUUGGAUGAACUUUUUUCAUAACCUCGUGAACUAUUUUCAAAUUCGAGAUUUUUUUAAUUCAGAAACGAUGAAAGUUUUUUCAAGUCAAUUAACUUGUACUGAAGAAAGUGUUAAGUAGGUUGUUUCCUCACUGUACACAAGGAAGUCCAGCGUGGCCUAGUGGUUAUCACUUUGUGCGGUUGACAUGGGCGGUAGGAGUUCGAAUCCCGCUUCACCUUUUUAUUCUGUAAUUUUUUUCAUCGCGUUAGAUUUUUGAGCAGAUUUCUCGCCGGCCCGCUACACCUCACAGGCGGCCCGCUAUGCCGCGGCUGCGAGCGCCAGCAGCGCUAACGGGCGCUUAAAGCGCUGAGUAGGAGCUCCCCUCCUAUUGGGCGCGUUUAGCGCCGGGAAAGCUUCUUGGCGCCCACGCCCCGUCCCUCGUGGGCCAGCCUAUUUACAUGACUCACUGUUGACUUUUGAGAGAAAAAAUAAAAAAACAAAAUAAAUCGCGAAUUUAAAAAUGUUCAUGAUUUUGAAAAAAAACGUCGGUUUGAAAAAAUUUCAUUGAAUUUGAAAACUAGUUUCAUCGAGUUUGAAAAAUAUUCAUCAAUUACAAAGAAAAACGUUCAUCGUAUUUGAAAAAAAGUUCAUCGAUUAAAAAAAGUUCAUCCAAUUUUUAAAAAGUUUGUGAAACUUGAGAAAAGAAGUUCAACGAUAUGAAGAAAACAAUUACGAAUUUGAAUAAAGUUCAUAGAUUUUUUUUAAAUGUGAUAAGGAAAGAAGAAAGGAGAAAGAAGAAUAAAAAGAAAAGAUCUAACUAAACACAUCUGGUGGUUUGGCUGUGUGGUUACUGUCGAUCGGGUUCGAAGCACUAAGCGACCGCAAAAUAGGAAUCGCACAUAGUUGCGCCCGACCUUAGUGCUAUCAGCCAGCUUGCGUUGCUUUUCGACCUUGUGGGCGGUGUCGGCCUUCUAAGGCCUUUUGUUUUUUAGAAAUUGAAAAAACCUUAAGAUUUAAGUAAAGUACAGAAAAAUCUACCGCGUGGCCCAGCCCAGGCCUGCAGCCACACAGCCAACCCACUGCGGCCCAGCACGCUGGCUCCCAGUUUCUCAACCAAUUUUUUUUUUAUUUUCGCCGCAUCUUCGCCAGGAGGAAUCCACUUUCGUCCCCUGGCCUUUGCCUCGCCAACAUGAACUAUGGGACUGUGUUUCGCUGCUAUCUCAAGAUCCUCCAGAUACCUGUUAAUGAAACACAUGGUAGACAAAGGGCUCUGGAAUUCAUCAUCAUGGAUUGCUCUUCUACGUGCCCACCAAAUUGCCCACAAGGUGAUUAGAGCUCUAGCGAGGUCUUGCUGCCCCAGUGUUUCAAAUAUCCAGAAAAGCCACAAACGCGCAUCAUCACUCUUGUUGGAAAUCAGAUGUGCCAAAAUUUCCUCAUCGCCUAGAGCCCAGACACACCGUGCCAUUCUGCACUCAAACAAAGAAUGCCGCCAUGAGUCAUACUCUGAUUCGCAUAAACUGCACACAGGUGAAGUGGCCAUGUUUCGUUCGUGGCGGACUGAUCCAGUGGGUAAUGACAUUUGUGCUAAUCUCCACACAAAGACCUUGACCUUGGACGGAACUUUCACUUUCCACAAUUGAGACCAUGAUCUGCUCUCCGCUUCAACGUUCGAGUGGAUCGGCCUGUGCUCUAGCCAGUCUUCUCGCUGGUGUUUGAUUCCACUUAUCAUCCUAUAUGCAGAUUUGACUGUGAAGAUUCCCCGACGCUCAUAGUGCCAUGACCAAAAGUCAGGUUGUACAUGUGUGAUGUUCAAGAUAACAUCCACGUCCGGCUGGAUGAAGUUCUCGGUCAGUACAUGUACAUUCCAUGAUUUCGAUGUUGCAUCAAUGAGUUCUGACACUAACUGCGGCGGGGCGGGAGAAAUAGAGCAUAUAGGUCUCAGCUUGAAAUCACGCGGCAGCCAGUUUUCUUCCCAUAUGUAGGUUUCAUCCCCGACCUGAUUCUCUUUAUGAGGCCCAAAGCUAGCACAUCUCUCCCCUCCAUCAGCGAGCGCCAUACUUGGGAAGGCCUGGUGCCGAGGCUGGCACCAAAAAUGUUGCUCUGAGGGUAGUAACGAGCACGCAAUACACGCGCACUCAAAGACUCCGGGUCCUGAAGUAAACGCCAGACUUGACGAGCAAGCAAAGCAAGAUUGAAAAGCUCUAUGUCCCUGAACCCGAUGCCUCACAUAUGCUUUGGUUUACACAUAGUCUUCCAGGAAACCCAAGCCGGUUUUCUUUGGCCACGCUUACUCCCCCACCCAAACUUCCUGAUAAGGCUGUUAAUAUGUUCAGUUAGGCCGCGACAAAGUUUGAAGCAUGACGAAUAUGUCGGAAUAGAUUGUGCAACCGAUUUGAUCAAUACUUCUUUACCUCCUGCUGACAAACAUUUCUCCAUCCAUCCUUGGAUGUGUUUCCAAAUUCUAUCCUUUAAAUACUUGAAGCUUCCUUCCUUAUUCUUCCCUACGUCCGUGGGCAAGCCCAAAUACUUCUCUGACAGAAAUUCGUUUUGGACAUCUAGUGCAUUCUUUAUCUCGUUCUGUGUUACCUCUGGAACCCCCUUGCUGAAGUAUAUAGCGGACUUGUCUGUGUUUACUCGUUGGCCCGAGGCAUCACAGUACAUCCUCAAAAUAUUCUGGACACUGGUUGCAUUCUCCAUAUUUGCUUCAAAAAACAGUAGACUGUCGUCUGCAAAGAGCAAGUGAUUAACUUGCGGGGCUGUCUCUGCAACAGCUAGACCCCGUAUGCCACCUCCGUGAUGUUUUAAUAAAGAUGAGAGACCCUCAACUGCAAGUAAAAAUAAGUAUGGGGAGAUAGGGUCCCCUUGUCUCAUGCCCCUUGAUGGCCUGAACUCAUUCAAACUGCCACCAUUAAAAAGAACUGAGAAAGUGACUGAAGAAACACAUCUCAUGAUAGUCUCUGUGAAGCGUGGACUAAUGCCCAUUCUCAACAUAACAGCCUUCAGAUAAGGCCAUUCCAGGCGAUCAUAUGCUUUCAUCAUAUCCAACUUCAGCGCAACAAACCGAUUGUUCUUUACUCUCCUCGUUUUCAUAUAAUGCAAGCACUCGUAAGCUGUCAGAAAAUUAUCCGUGAUAAGACGUCCAGGCACAAAGGCCGACUGCUCCUCAGAAAUUACCUCAGGAAGGAUGAUCUUCAACCUGUUAGCUAGAACCUUUGACGCAAUCUUAUAGACCACGUUACAAAGGCCUAUAGGCCGAAACUGUCCUAAAAUUUUUGGACCUGCGAUCUUGGGAAUAAGAACGAUGAACGUGCGAUUGAUAUCCUCCGGAGAAUCUUCUCCUUCGAGCAAUCUAAUAAUCAUGCCAGUAACCUCUUCACCACAGAGGUCCCAAUGUCUCUGAAAAAAAUGUGCAGGAAAUCCAUCGGGCCCCGGUGCUUUUGUUGGAAACAUUUGAAAGAGAGCAACUUUGACCUCUUCUUUUGUAUAUGGUGCAUUAAGCUUUGCAUUCAUACUUCCAUCAACUCUAACCGGGAUGUGGGACAAGACCUCCUCCAUCCCAAUACCGGCCAUCUCUUCAGUAUCAGAAGAAAGUGUCCCAUCCGGCCUCUCAAGCUGAGUAAUAUUGUUUUUUGCCCUUCUAGCACUCGCCUUCUUCUGGAAAUACUGCGUGUUACUGUCUCCUGCGGACAGCCAGUCUAUACGCGACCGUUGUCUCAUCAUUAUCUCCUCCCUGUAGGAAAUCUCAACAAUCUUGUCCAAAACCCUCUUCUCCUCCUCGCCCGGCCCAACACGGACCGGGUCAGCUCUCAAAACUGCUAGCUGGUGCCUCAGCUUCCUUAACUCUUCACGAACUGACCCAAAAGUUGCUCGGCUCCAGUGUUUAAGCGAAGCUCCAACCGAAGUCAACUUAUCAGCUAGCUCUGUUAUAUUUGUAGCUGGUUGCCGCUGUAUCCAGGUCGGGACGGACGGGAGCGUGUGUUGUUGUUUGCAGGGACAAAGAAGGAAACUACAUUGGCGCAUCAGCUAUGGUUUUUGAAGGCCUAGUUGGCGCUGCAAACCUGGAGGCCCAAGCAUGCAAUGAGGCACUUGCUCUCGCACAAGAUCUUCAUCUAUCACAUGUGAUCAUAGCGUCGGACUGCAUGCAAGUCGUCUCAGACAUCAAUGGCGCUGCACAAUCUUCUUCUUAUGCUUGUAUAAUCGAGGAGAUUAAAGUUAGAUCGGUAGACUUUGUUAAAGUUAGUUUUCGUUUUGAAAAUAGGGAGUCGAAUUGUGAGGCUCAUGCUUUGGCAAAAGCAGCCUCGACACUCCCUAUCGGUCGACAUUAUAGCUGGCCAAACGGGUCGGGCCAAACAGGCCAGCCCGCGAGCACGCCGGCACGGCCCGCUAUGGGCCAGGCACGGCACGGGUUAAACGGGCCGUGCCCGGCACGCGGCACGUCUUGGGCCGUGCCUGGGCCUGAAGCCUGGGCACGCGGGCCAGCACGGCACGGACCGUUUAAUUUUUUUAUAUAAUUUUCAGAAUUUUUUCUAUAUAUCUAUACCUAAAAUAUAGCCCAAUAGGCCUAAAAAACAGCCCAACAGGCUGAAUAUGUGCAGCCCAGCGUGCUAAACGGGCCAUCGGGCCGGCCCAUUUACUAAUCAGGCCGUGCCUGGGCCAAGGAGCAGCGCCCGUGGGCCGGCACGACAUGACCUGGCUAUUAAACGUGCCAUGGCGGGCCGUGCCGGGCCAGGCACGAUUAGCACAGGCCGGGCCGUGCCGUGCCGGGCCGACCCGUUUGGCCAGGUAUAGUCGACAUGUGUGGCUAGGGAACACACCAGAUAUUAUUUGUAUUCCGUCAGUUUUGGUUGAUCAAUAAAACCCUAGUUACACCUAAAAAAAUAACCAAAAAAAAAAUGCACGCUGGCUCCCAGCCGAGACGCACACGCCGCCGCGCGGGACCUCCACGAGGGCGUCUGGCGUCACCCCGGCGCACCCGCCGAGACUGCUGCGCCGCCGCGCCGCCGCGAGAAGGGCGGAGGUCGCCAGGGAGAGAGCAUCAAAAGGAGGAGAGGGAGGUGGAAGAGGCGCCCUGCCGCCACCGCGGGCAGGCCGCCGGUGGCGCCGGCGACAGAGGAGGACGUGGCUGAGGGGGCUGAAGGUGAGGCGGCGGGAAAUCGCCCGGUGAGUCGCGAGAGCAACCCACGGGACGGAGGGAAAAGUGGCGGUGGAUUCCUUGGUUUUCACUGUUUCGUUCCCAAAUCAGAUUCGACCGGGCAAGCAUAUCCAGUUCUCUCCCGGAUUGGAUUGGGGUGGGAAGGAUCUACAUCAGAACGCGACCGGAGUAGCCGCCGGAGCUGCCGCAGUCUUGGUCUCUUUGAUUUGCGGCUCCGGCCGCCCGUGUGGUUGUAGCCGACCUGCUCUAAAGCUGUGGUGUUUGUCUCUGUCCAUCCACAAUGGAAGCUCCGGCUCCAGAUUGGUCCGGGCUACCAGCGGACAUAUUGAUCAGCAUAUUCCAGUUGCUCCAGUGCCCGGACCUCCUCCGAUCCGCCGCCGUCUGCACAUUCUGGCAAAAGGUGUACUCCACGCUCCGCCGAAGCGGCGUCUGCCCCAGUCGCCAGACUCCCUGUUUACUCUAUUGUACCGAGGCCGCCGGGGCGAAGGCUCUUGGCAUGUACAGUCUCUCUGAACGGAAGGCCUACUCCUUGCCCCUCCCUGAACCUCCCAUCAGCAGCUGGAUUGGUUCAUCACAUGGCUGGCUAGUCACCAUGGAUGAGAAGUCUGACCUGAUGCUUCUCAACCCUAACACCGGUGACAAGAUUGCACUCCCUCAUGUGACAGCCAUGGAGCAUGUUAAACCUAUCGUAAACGAAGACGGGAUUCUUGAAAAGUACAAGCUGUCUUUCUAUGAUGGAGAGCUUCCGAGGGUGGAGGAUACACCCUAUGCAUGCCAUUUGGAUAGGUACGGAGAUCUGGUCUAUCUGAAGGCAAUUUUGUCGUCAGAUCCAUCGGCAGGGGAAUGCACUGUCAUGCUCAUCCAUCAGCCGUACGCGCAGCUCUCGUUCGCCAAAGUGGGAGAUGCUCACUGGAACUGGCUCCAAAUGCAUAGUUUCUAUGCUGAUUGCAAACACCAUGAUGGCUGUUUCUACGCAUUCACUGCGGCAGGCGCAAUCGAUGUGUUUGAUUUGAACGGGCCAUCUGUCAUCCACAGAAGGAUUUUACCAAAUCUAGUUCAGAUGGUCCAGAAGUGCUAUAUUGUUCAGGCACCAUGGGGAGAUGUCCUCCAAAUCAUUAAGGAGGAGAGUUUGGAUCCUGAACAACCAGAUGGUGAGACGUAUAUCACUGCUUAUGAAGUGUACAAGGUUGAUUUUGUUGAGCUGAAGCGUGCCAAGAUGAGAGGGCUAGGUGAAUAUGCAUUGUUUACUGGGAAAAGCACAACAUCUUGCUUUAGCGCAAAGGAUCAUCCAGGCUUGAUGGCAAACCAUCUAUAUUUUACUCAUGAUGAUCACGAUGAAUUACUCAGCGGCAAAGAUGAUCCACGUGAUAUAGGAGUGUACGACUUGGAAAAUGAUACCAGAACCAAUUUGGUUGAUCCUGAACCCUGGAUGACGUGGUUCCCUCCCAUAUGGUUCACACCCAAUCUUGCAAAAGCAGGUAUAUUUCAUUAUCAAACAGUACUUUUCCUGAUAUUAUUUUUAGUAUUUUGAAAUCUGCUUCUCACAGAAUAAGAGAAUUGCACUUCCAACCUUAAGUGUGUUCCCCUUGUCUGGGUCUGUAUUGGAUGUUCAGAAUAGCUUCAGCGUUUGGUUAUGUUGAAUUUCUUAAACCCCUUUGGCUAAGAUUACCAUGUUAGUCAUGUGUUAUUCUUGCUAAAUGACAUGAAACGUGAUGAGGUUUAUAGGUUGGCUUUGAUACAUUUUUUAUGAUGUUGUGCUUGUCUGGCCUAGUGUUAUAGAAGAAGCGUUGCAUUCUCACCUAACAAAUAGGCUAUCAUGAAGCAGCCAACUCAUAUUGGGGAAAUAGGAAACUAUAAAGUGUGAAUAGUCUCGAGACGAAUGCAAGAUAAUCUAGAUCUAAUUGACAAUAUCAGUGUUAUAUUUCCGAAUACGUAUGGAGUAAAUAAUACUAAUAUGGAUGACAGAUAAUCCAGAAUUCUGGAUACAGUGGACAAAUGUGCAUUCACCCUUUACAGUACUGCCAUGAUCACACACAAACUCCACAUGAUAACUAUAAAACAAACUAGGAAGAAUAUAAAGAUGGUGGUGCGUAUCCUGUGAAAAUGGGCAUGUUUUUGAUAAUGUGAAAAUACAAUCAGAAAAGCACACGUGCAAGUAUCUUAAAAUUCUCAAAAUAACUCUCUUACUUUGUAAGGCCGUUUUGUAUAUUCAUGCCAAUUUGAAACUUCAAAUCCAGUAUACUUUGUGUGCUACAGAAGAGAAAACUGAAUGUGAAUGGUGUACUAAAAUUAAAACUGUGCUUUGACACUAUUAGCCUAUUUUGUCUUUUUUGUUUUCGUAAAAGGAAUUCUCUUUCGAGAAAGUUUGCACGGAGGUGCUAUAUGCUCUUCCACAAUAGUACACUUUUGCGGAAUUUGUAUGCGCUUUUUAAAUGGUAUUUCAAAUUUUUGGAAAGAUGUGCAUUUUCGUAGGAUAUGUCCCACUAAAUACAUUGGGGGUUAAGAUGAUUUAGCAUAUCAUUUAUGUUGUCUGGCCGGGUAAGAAAUUCAUGUAACAAAACAACAUUUUUUUUAAUGUUAAGCUAGCCUUUUUUGUUUCUUCUUAUUUUGAGUUUCGUUUUCCUUUUCCAUUUGCUUAGAGUUUCUAGAUUUGUGCCCCUUCGUUCUCUUUUGCUGUUUCAAUUUGUGCAGUUUUGUGCCUUCUUGCCGUUCUUAUUCUAAUACUGGACAAUAUUAUACACAUUUUGGUGUUGUUUGAGAAAAGAGUGCAAAUUUCAGCCGAUAGUACCUUUAAUAUUUGUCUUUCCGUUUAUAUCCAGUUGUUCAAAUGUGCACCUCGCUGUGAUUUGCAUUUGAAGUAUUCUCUGAUAUUUGUUCUGAUUAUUAUCUUUGUUUUCAUUGGAGAAGUGGUUUACUAAUAAGUACAAAAAUUGCAACCAAAUGUACAGCAACAUUUGACAUAAAUCACACAUCUCAUUCGUUAAUCUUUAUAUAUUAUGUUCUCAUAGAAGUUACAUUAAUUCUUGUGAACUGCUAAGCUGAUCAUUUGUUGACUAUUAACUUAAUUAGGCUUAAUAGCCUGUCAGGGUUUAUAAAUGCACUUACACGGUUACAUCACAUGUGAUGGACUGAUCGUGUACCUGUUUACUCUGAUAAAAUCUCCUUGUCAGUUUUUUCUUCUGUUUAACAUGGAACUGAAUUAUUGCGUGGAUCCGAAAAGAACCACCUGCUACUGUAGAUUAAAAAAAUUGUAGGAAUGCUUGCAAUCAUUGUAACGAUGGGCAUAUGUUUAUUGUCGUGUUAUCUGUUACUUUGCAUAGUCCAUGUCUUCAUGCUUGCUUGAAACAAUGCAACCUUUUGCCACUGUCUACUUUACAAUAAAUACAAUUUGCAUGGAAAAUUCCAAAAAAAAAUAUUAACUCUAAAAUUUGAGAGAAGUGCUCAUAUAUCAUAUUAUUAUAUUCUGGUCACUUUUCUGGUUGCUAGCUCAUUUCCCUGUCAGACUGUCACAUAAAGGUAGGCCAUUAUGAAUCAGUCAUUUUUACUAUUUUCUCCUGUGGCAAAUUUUAGCAUGGUCCCUCUUACCUCCCCUUUUCACAUGAGAGGUAAGAGUACGUAAUAGAUCUGAGCCAUUGAUUUGAUUAAAUAGUGGUCUGAUUUACUCUUACCUUCUUACCUCCCAUGUGAAAAGAGGGGGUAAGAGGGAGCAUGUUAAAAUUACUCUUCUCAUGUUACAUAUAUGACCCUCUCUCUCAUUUUUGCGAUUUAGCCACAUGUUCUGUUAGUACUUUAUUAACCUCUUAUUCCGCGAGUGUCAGUCCUUAACCCAAUGCGUAGUCUCUUACAUAUUCUGCCUUUAUUUGAAUGUAUGAUUUUAUGUUAGCUCUUUUACAGUACCCUGAUACUCUGAAAGCAUGCAUUGGAGUACCAGGCAGAUUUGGCCAUCCACACGGAAGGGCAACCCCAUAAUUUCCCAAAUGGUACGAAAGGGUAUUUUUGGACUUCUUCUCUGCCAUUUUGAUAGAGCCCACAGCUCCCUGGUCCUGCCCUUGCUGUGCCGUCGUGCCCUAGCACGCGCCGCAGGUUAUCCAAGUUUGAGGGCGGCGCCCCAGCCCCCAGGUCCUGCCCUCUCCGUGCCGUUGUGCCUCAGCGCGCACUGCCACCAUCCCUGUCAAGCGUCUUCGGUCGAGCUGCCACCCCACAACAGGUUCCCCCCUGUCGAGCAAGUUCCCCACAUGAAGAACUCUUAGGAAUCCUAGAAAUUAUAUAUGAACUACAUGCCAAAUUGGCGUCAAAAUUGCCAUCGUUUAAGCUGUCUUAGAUCCUAUGAGCAUAAAAAUUUCCAGCAUGCUGCUUGCUUUGAGCACAAAUAGUUGAAGAGAACAAAUGCGCUUCAGCUUGUGCAGAAACUAUCAGCUGCGGCUUAUCAGAUUAAGAUGCAGCAGUGGUUGUUUUAACACUUCCUGUGAUUGUCUGACACCGUCCGUAGCAGAUGUGCGCUCAUUCAGGAUGCAGAAUUGUCUUUGUUUUCGCCAUCAAUCUUACCAACAAAGGUUAAUCCAAUAUGAAAACUCUGUUUUUUUAUAUGAUUAAGCCAAACUGUGCGAAUGAAUUGCAGAUGCCGAAUUUUGAUACCUUUUCAUAGAAGAAAAGAAGUUAACAUAUAAGAUUAUACUGACUACAACAUUUCUUACAUGGUGUGUUCAUAAGAAUAAGAAUGAAAAUUUAGCUUUCACUGUGAGCCUCCCAUGGAAUCCUUCCUUGUUCCAUGCUGAAUUCUGAUUGCAUUUUUCUGUUCUGUCAGGGCUGUAGGUCUGUUUGUUUGCCCUUUGGAUUUUUUUAUUCUUUUGGUUAUUCUACAAUAUCUACUGCAAUACAUGGAAUCCUUUAUCGCCUCUUACAAUGAAUUAAAGUCAUUUGUAAUUUAACCCCGUGAGUCUAAUAACACUGAUCUUACACAUUCUAAUAUUUUCACUUAUCUACAGAUGCCAUGUGCGCCUGCACCCAAGGGGUGUUGACUUCUGCAAGUACAAGCGUGGUAACAGCAAGCAGCUGAGGCCCAAGAAGAAGAUCAAGAAGUAGAGUGCCACCAGUCAGUUUAAUGGACCUGUUAAAAUCCAUCGUCGUGUCAGAGUUUAUGCUUCGCCAUCGUCUCUGGUUGUCGUUAAACCUUAUUUACCUUGCUUUCAGCCUCAUAUUGCUUUGUUGAUCUUUGAAAGAAAAUUUGUAUCAUGAGUAUGAUAAAGGUAGAUGAUGUUGCUCCAUAAAUUGUGGUCAUUUUCAUCCUGCUACAGUUGCUCUUAUAAAAUGUCUCUGCAGAAGAAUGUGUGAUCACACUGCUGACAUAGAGUUUUUAUCCCACCAACAAAUCGAAGUCCUCCUGGGCUAUCGCCUCUGCUUUCCACCAUCCCCAACAACUACAUACGCUCAUGAUACGGACGUGAGGCUUAAUCAAUUUCUUUUUUGAGGAUUCCUUCACAGGCUUAAUCAAACCUGGCCACAUGUCCCGGCUGUGUAUUAAAAAAAUGUUAAAAAAUUGGUACAGCCAGGACACGUACCUCUUUCUUUUUUGACUAUGUAUUAGAAAAUGUAAAAAAAAUGGUACAGCCGGGACAUAGUAAAAAAAGAAAUAGCUGAUGCGGGAUAUAGUAAAAAAUCUUAAAAGUUGGUACAGCCGGGAAACGUACCAAUUUUUGUAACAUUUUUUCUAGAUUAAGCCGGGACAUCUACACAGGUUUAACAUUUUAAAGCUUAACCAAACCUUCUUAUUUUUAUAGAUUUGAAUUUAAUAUUUUUCUAAUACAUAGUCAACAUUUUUAUACCAAUUUUUUUUAAAAAAAUCAAGCGCUUGGUUAACAAUUUUCGAAUACAAGGUUUACUUUUUUUAAUAUAUAGUCAACAUUUUCACUAUAAACAUUUUAAACCUUUUUCAAAUGCUUGAUUAACAUUUUUUAAAUACAGGAUUAACAUUUUUCUAACACAUGGUAAUAUUUUUCUAUGAUUAUUUAACAUUUUUCAAAUGCUUUAUCAAUAUCUUAUAAUGCAAGAUUAACACUUUUUUAAUGCAUGGUCAAUAUUUUUUAUAUACAUUUAACAUUUUCCAAAUGCUUGAUUAACAUUUUUGAAAUAAUUAUUCAACAUUUUUUUUUAAAAUUCUUGAUUAAUAUUUUCAUAUGCAUGAUCAAAAGAUUUCAUUAUUUUCUUAAUACAUGGUCAACAUUUUUUCAAACACUUUAUUAACAAUUGUUUCAAAUUUUUGGUUAACAUAUUUUAAAUACAUGAUCAAGUUUUAUAACAGAUAUUAUAUAUUUGUUUGUAUAUAUUUCUCGUAUGCAUGGUCAACAUUUUUUUAUACACAAUUAAAAUUUUAAAAUGCAUGAAUAUUAUGAAAAUUAUAAUUUGUAAUCUAUGUUUUUAGACUUUUUGGAGGUGUAAAGAAAAGUUAAAAAGGAAAUGAACAAAGAAAACAAAAAGAAAGGUCAAACAAACAUAAAAAAGAGGCAAUGGCCUCGCGCGAUCUGGGCUGGCCAUUUAGGCCGGCGCCUCCGCGACAGCUGAUCUGCCUCGCUUGCAGCGAGACAUAGUCGCGGGAGCUCCUAUUGGUCGCGUCUAGCGCCGGGAAAGCUUCUUGGCGCCCACGCCCCAUCCCUCAUGGGCCAGCCUAUUUACAUGACUCACUGUUGACUUUUGAGAGAAAAAACGAAAACAACGAAAUAGAUCAUGAAUUUAAAAAUGUUCAUGAUUUUGAAAAAAACAUCGGUUUGAAAAUUUUCAUUGAAUCUGAAAACUAGUUCAUCGAGUUUGAAAAAUAUUCAUCAAUUUUAGAAAGAGAAAACAUUCACCGUAUUUGAAAAAAGGUUCAUUGAUUUUAAAAAAGUUCAUCCGAUUUUUAAAAAGUUCAUCAGACUUGAGAAAAGAAGUUCAACGAUAUGAAGAAAAUAAUUACGAAUUUGAAUAAAGAGGUAAUAUCACUAGUGGUGCUUAAACUUGCCAUCGAUGUUCAUUUUGGUGCCUAAACUUGAAAAAUACACCGAACUGGUUCUAUAACUUGGCAGUAUGGUUCAAAUACGGUUCGAAUCAUGUCUAGAUAUGUAUAUAUUGCUGACUAGACAUGCGAGCGUGUCGCAGGGCCCACUUGCAGUGCAGAGACAUACUGCCAUGAAGAGUGUGCGUCUCAAUGACCAUCGGGCCCCACCUGUCAGUGCAUAGUUGAAAUAAACUAUAAAAUUGUAAAGCUGAGAUUCGAACCGGUGACGAGUGAGCCACGAAGGACAUGCACCAACCAAUUCGCCACGUAAUUUUGUUGUCUUUAUGCACUGCAACGGUUUAUACAUCCGAUACAGCCGUGGAGUUAAAUGUGCAUCAGUUAGUGCACCCAUUUUCCACAUGUUAGUUUUUUUUAUUUUAGAAAUUGCAAAAUAUUCAGGUAGUAUAUGAAAGUGUCCAUGCUUUUAGGAAAUGUAUUUCUAGUUUAAAAAGUGUUCACUCAUUUUAAAGAAGUAUAUGUGUUUGCCAAAAGAUAUAUUUUUGAAUAAAAAUAAAUAUUAAAAUAUAUGUCAAAAAAUAAACAAUGUCCUAGUGUUCCUCCAGGAUUUUAUACAUUCUUGUAUUUAAAUUAUAAUUUUUUAAACUAUACAUACACUUGUCUAGCUAAAAAACAUUUUAAAUAACUGAAUUUCUAAUAAUACAUAAAUAUUUUUUUAAUUACAUUAACGUGUUUGAAAAUAAUUUUUUUACGCAUAUUAGUUAUGAGACAAGAAGGUUCUAGAUUUACUUUUAUUACCAUUACAAUAAUUUGCAUAAGUUUUAGAACUAAUAAAAGCAAAAAAGAAACCCACACGUCGAAGGUUCACGUAAAAAAGGAAAAAAACUAAUAUUUUAAAAAAGGAUCACAUGAUAUGUUUUAAAAUGAAUAUUUUGAAAAUUGAUUAACAUUUCAAAAAUGUAUAACUUUUAAAAAUUGCAAAAUUAUUUUAUUAAAUGUGUGAAACCUUACAAAUAUUAUGAAACCAUUUUAUUAACUUUGUAUUAUUUUAACUUUGUGAAUAUUAAAAAAAUUGAGGGGUCAUUAACUAUUUAUUUAAUAUUUUGAGUAUAGUUUGAAUAUUUUUCUAGCAACCGAAAAAUAACUAGCAUGUGAAAAAUUGGAAGCACUGAUUGCAGUCUAGUUUGCUAGAUAAAGGUUAGCGAUGCAUUAUAGUCAACUUACUUUCGCUGGUCAAGUGGUUUGCGCAGAUCCUUUGCAGCGGAGAGGUCGCCGGUUCAAAUCUUAGUUGUGCUUCAUUUUUAUUUAUUUCGGUUUUACACUGACAUGUGGGACCCGAUGGUCAUUUACACGCACUAUUUCCAUGUCGGUCCGUCUCGGCAUUGCAAGUGGACCCCGUGCCAGCUGGCAUGUCUAGUCAACAAUGCAUACGUAUUUGAACCGUAUUUGAACCACACUGUCAAUUAUAGAACGAGUUCGGUGUAUUUUUCAAGUUUAGGCAUCAAAGUCAAUAUCGAUGGCAAGUUUAGACACCGCUACUGUUAUUACCUCUUGAAUAAAAAAAUGGGAUAAGGAAAGAAGAAAGGAGAAAGAAGAAAAAAAAAGGUCUAACUAAAUAAACACAUCUGGUGGUUUGGCUGUGUGGUUACUGUCGAUCGGGUUCGAAGCACUAAGCGAUCGCAAAAUAGGAAACGCCCAUAUUUGCGCCCGACCUUAGGGCUAUCGGUCAGCUUUCGACCUUGUGGGCCGUGUCGGUCUUCUGGGGCCUUUUGUUUUUUAAAAAUUUAGAAAAACCUUAAUAAAAUAAGUAAAGUACAGAAAAAUCUACCGCGCGGCCUAGCCCAGGCCUGCAGCCGCACAGCCAACCCACUGCGGCCUAGCACGCUGGCUCCCAGUUUCUCAACCAAAAAAAAAUGCACGCUGGCUCCCAGUCGAGACGCACACGCCGCCGCGCGGGACCUCCGCGAGCGCGUCACCCCGGCGCACCCGCCGAGACUGCUGCGCCGCCGCGCCGCCGCGAGAAGGGCGGAGGUCGCCAGGGCGAGAGCAUCAAAAGGAGGAGAGGGAGGUGGGAGAGGCGCCCUGCCGCCACCGCGGGCAGGCCGCCGGCGGCGCCGGCGACAGAGGAGGACGUGGCUGAGGGGGCUGAAGGUGAGGCGGCGGGAAAUCGCCCGGUCAGUCGCGAGAGUAACCCACGGGACGGAGGGAAAAGUGGCGGCGGAUUCCUUGGUUUUCAUUGUUUCGUUCCCAAAUCAGAUUCGACCGGGCAGGGCAGGCAUAUCCAGUUCUCUCCCGGAUUGGAUUGGGGUGGGAAGGAUCUACAUCAGAACGCGGCCGGAGUAGCCGCCGGAGCUGCCGCAGUCUUGGUCUCUUUGAUUUGCAGCUCCGGCCGCCCGUGUGGUUGUAGCCGACCUGCUCUAAAGCUGUGGUGUUCGUCUCUGUCCAUCCACAAUGGAAGCUCCGGCGCCAGAUUGGUCCGGGCUACCAGCGGACAUAUUGAUCAGCAUAUUCCAGUUGCUCGAGUGCCCGGACCUCCUCCGAUCCGCCGCCUUCUGCACAUUCUGGCAAAAGGCAUACUCCACGCUCCGCCGCAGCGGCGUCUGCCCCAGUCGGCAGACCCCCUGCUUACUAUAUUGUACCGAGGCCGCCGGUGCGAAGGCUCUUGGCGUGUACAGUCUCUCCGAUCGGAAGGCCUACUCCAUGCCCCUCCCUGAACCUCCCAUCAGCAACUGGAUUGGUUCAUCACAUGGCUGGCUAGUCACCAUGGAUGAGAAGUCUGACCUGAUGCUUCUCAACCCUAUCACCGGUGACAAGAUUGCACUCCCUCCUGUGACAACCAUGGAGCAUGUUAAACCUGUCAUAAACGACGACGGGGUUCUUGAAAAGUACAAGCUGUCUUUCUAUGACGGAGAGCUUCCGAGGGUGGAGGAUACACCCUACGCAUGCCCUUUGGAUAGGUACUGAGAUCUGGUCUAUCUGAAGGCAACUUUGUCUUCCUAUCCAUCGGCAGGGGAAUGCACUGUCAUGCUCAUCCAUCAGCCGUACGCGCAGCUCUCAUUCGCCAAAGUGGGGGAUGCUCGGUGGAACUGGCAACAAAUGCAUAGUUUCUAUGCAGAUUGCAUACAACAUGAUGGCUGUUUCUACGCAAUGACUGAGGUAGGCGCAAUCGAUGAGUUUGAUUUGAACGGACCAUCUGUCGUCCACAGAAGGAUUUUACCAAAUCUAGUUGGGAUGGUCCAGAAGUGCUACAUUGUUCAGUUACCAUGGGGAGAUGUCCUCCAAAUCAUUAAGGAGGAGAGUUUGGAUCCUGAACAACCAGAUGGUGAGACAUAUGUCACUGCUUAUGAAGUGCACAAGGUUGAUUUUGUUGAGCUGAAGCGUGUCAAAAUGAGAGGGAUAGGUGAACAUGCAUUGUUCACUGGGAAAAGCACAACAUCUUGCUUUAGCGUAAAGAAUCAUCCAGGCUUGAUGGCAAACCAUCUAUAUUUUACUCAUGAUGAUCACGAAGAAUUACUCGGCGGCAAAGAUGAUCCACGUGACAUAGGAGUGUACGACUUGGAAAAUGAUACCAGAACCAAUUUGGUUGAUCCUGAACCCUGGAGGACGUGGUUCCCUCCCAUAUGGCUCACACCCAAUCUUGCAAAAGCAGGUAUAUUUCAUUUUCAAACAGAACUUUUCCUGAUAUUAUUUUUAGUAUUUUGAAAUCUGCUUCUCACAGAAUAAGAGAAUUGCACUUCCAACCUUAAGUGUGUUCCCCUCGUCUGGGUUUGUAUUGGAUGUUCAGAAUAGCGCAUUUGGUUAUGUUGAAUUUCUUAAACCUCUUUGGCUAAGAUUACCAUGUUAGUCAUGUGUUGUUUUUGCUAAAUGACAUGAAACGUGAUGAGGUUUAUAGGUUGGCUUUGAUACAUUUUUUAUGAUGUUGUGCUUGUCUGGCCAAGUGUUAUAGAAGAAAUGUUGCAUUCUCACCGAACAAAUAGGCUAUCGUGAAGCAGCCAACUCAUAUUGGGGAAAUAGGAAACUAUAAAGUGUGAAUAGUCUCGAGACGAAUGCAAGAUAAUCUAGAUCUAAUUGAAAAUAUCAGUGUUAUAUUUCUGAAUACGUAUGGAGUAAAUAAUACUAAUAUGGAUGACAGAUAAUCCAGAAUUCUGGAUACAAUGGACAAAUGUGCGUUCACCCUUUACAGUACUGCCAUGAUCACACACAAACUCCACACGAUAACUAUAAAACAAACUAGGAAGAAUAUAAAGAUGGUGGUGCGUAUCCUGUGAAAAUGGGCAUGUUUUUGGUAAUGUGAAAAUACAAUCAGAAAAUCACAUGUGCAAGUAUCUUAAAAUUCUCAAAAUAACUCUUACUUUGUAAGGGCGUUUUGUAUAUUCAUGCCAAUUUGAAACUUCAAAUCCAGUGUACUUUGUGUGCUACAGAAAAGAAAACCGAAUGUGAAUAGUGUACUAAAAUUAAAACUAUGCUUUGACACUAUUAGCCUAUUUUGUCUUGUUUUGUUUUCGUGAAAGGAUUUCUCUUUCGAGAAAGUUUGAACAGAGGUGCUAUAUGCUCUUCCACAAUAGUACACUUUUGUGGAAUUUGUAUGUGCUUUUAAAAUGGUAUUUCAAAUUUUUGGAAAGAUGUGCAUUUUCGCAGGACAUGUCCCACUAAAUACAUUGUGGGUUAAGAUGAUUUAGCAUAUCAUUUAUGUUGUCUGGCCGGGUAAGAAAUUCAUGUAACAAAACAACAUUUUUUUAAUGUUAAGCUAGCCUUUUUUGUUUCUUCUUAUUUUGAGUUUCGUUUUCCUUUUCCAUUUGCUUAGAGUUUCUAGAUUUGUGCCCCUUCGUUCUCUUUUGCUGUUUCAAUAUGUGCAGUUGUCGAAGUAAUGGGCCACCGGUAUGCUCACCCGAGUCCCAAGAUUUACCAAGACUUUGGGCCAGCUCCGCCUAGCUGGGCCCCAAGCCGAAACUCCGCCCUCUGGGGCCGGCUGGCUUAGUGGCCGGCUGCCAGAGGGCGGGUGACCCAAGAGAGCGGCAACGGGCAGGCGGCCACCUCACAACUACGGGCGGCCGAGCUCCCAUCAAGAGUACAAGGCAGGGCAUGGCUACAGUGAAGCACGUCGCCUCCCACGCUCGAGACGGGCGUGGCUACAGUGCUCCGUACAGACGGAGAUCUCCGCACGACGGAGCACUGUGCCAUAUCUACCCUGACGUCGUUCCGGGCAGGCAGAGUCUUGUUCCCCACGAUGGCUUGUCGGUACGGCCCGCCGGAGGCGGGCCCUAUCAGGCAGUGACCCCAAGGAAGACGGCGGAAGCUCGACCAAGCGGAUUCAAGAGGAGCCGGCCUCCAGCAGGCGGCCGUCCCUUAUCCCGAGGCAUGCACGCCAUUAAGCUGAUGAGACCAGGUGUGGCUACAGUGGCCUCUCGCCAGGCGGCGGGACUGUAGCCACGCAAAGGUGACCAAGCUCUCGUCACCAACGACACGGCUACAGUAAGCAGCCACCAACCAGUCGGCGGGGCCCACCAGGCGGCGGGCCCCAGCGGUCGGCGGAGAAGCCGGAGGCUGGAGACACUGACAGCCGGGCCCAGCAGCCGGCCAGAUUACCAUUGUACCCCUGGGGGUAGGCCUAUAUAAACCCCCCAGGCCACCCAUGCAAAGGGUUUGACCCCAUUAGAACUAGCCACCCCUUAGAGCAGGAAGAGAGCUAAGCCUUGCCUCCUCCCGCCUCUAGCGCACAGCUCGAGGAGCACCAUUGUAUCACUUGUGCCUUAGUGAUCAUGCGGAGACCCCGCAGAGCAGGACUAGGGGUGUUAUCUCCUAGGAGAGCCCCGAACCUGGGUAAAGUACGCCGGCGUUCGUGUCUACGCCUUAUCUCGCUUCCAGGCACCGGCGACGUUCUACUCGCUCCCACCAUGAUAAGCCAUCCAUUGGCAUAUGUCGCACCCAACCCCAGACAUUUGGCGCCCACCGUGGGGCGAGGUGCACCGUCUCCCGGAGAUCUGCUCUGGACGGGAACCCUGUUCCUUCCUGGCGAGCGAAGCCAGCCCAGCACACCCGACGACGUCAGCCUCGACGCGCUGCAUGGCGCGGAGAUCGCCUGCGCGGCGAGUUGCCUUGCUGACCUCGUCGGCGAGAUUGACCUCUCCGACGAGCCGGCCUCCACGUGGGCACAAGUUGCCCCGAGAGCCGCCUCGUCAGCCUCCUCGACCAGCUCCAUGUCGCCAGCGAGCCCGCUGUGGACCUGGAGUCCGUCGGCUCAACCGAUCCGAUGAUCGUCGACUCCGACACGGCGUCGCUCGACGCGUUUCCCACCAACGUGGUGGUCUAUGAUGAGCCGCCUCCUCACGAGUACAGCGGCGGGAGCACCGUCACAGAUGUUCUCGUCAUUAACAGCGAGGAGCACUCGGACGGGCGUGCUCAAGAUCCCCUUGAGGCCGCCCUGCGCGACCUCACGGCGCCCAUUCCCGAGGACGCGGAUGCUAAGGUGCUGGAGGCACGCCGCCUCCAGCUUAUCGAGAGUGCUGGCCGCCUGGCCAGCAUGCGCCGGCUGUCGGACGCCUACCGGCGCGAGAUGGACCGGGCCGUAGGCGGCACAACGGCUCCUAGGGGGCCUAGCCGCCUCGGCACAAUUCGGCAGCAUGGCGCGGCCGUCGCCACCAUGUUCGGGGUAGAGCGCCCCGUCUACGCCACGUCUGCAGAGAACAUUCGGGCCGCCCAGGCGGUAACGGAUGAGCUGAACAAGUACGAAGGCGACGAACUCCGCCACAUGACAAAGCGAGUCCAACAGCUCCUGGACGCGGCUGCCGCGCAGCACGAGGCCGCCUGCCGCGCUAAAGACCCAGCCGUAUGAGACAACGAGCCGCCCCCACGCCGAGACGAUGGGGCGACCUCCCGGACGCCGACUGGUGGCGCCCGCGGAGGAAAGGGCAAUGAGUCGGCUGCUAGCCGCAGUCGGACACGCAUCUCCAUCGAGCAGGACGAGGAAGGCCGCCCUUGUGCAGUGGAGCGGCGAGGCAACCUGCCGCCUCCCCUGCCUCGUGGAGCGAGAUACCCCACUCCGCCUCCUGUCACGCACCCGACAGUCGGCGACCGCCUUGGCCGCCGAGAGGGAGUCGGAGAGAAUGAUGCUCGCCACCGGAUCGAUCGCCUCAACCGAUCCCUGGCGCUUGAAGAAGAAGAUGCGCUGAGCCCGCCCUGCUUCGGCCCCCGAAUCCGCGAUGAGCCCUUCCCCAAAGGGUUCACCCUCCCACGAGUGAUAUGGCCGCGUGUAAUUUAAGUGCGAUGAUCAGUGUUGAUACAACAACGUAUUCAUCUAGUACUGAAUAUGCUACAGAUGUUUUUCAAGAUGAAGAUGGAUUUGUAGGCAUCACAUCUAAGCGUGACACAGUUGUACAAAUAAUGAGCAAGUAUGGAGUUAUGUUUCUAUAUUCCCCUAAAUCAGGACGUGAAGGAGCACACAUGCAUGGGUGUGGGUCCAGCCAAAAGUCAAUUAGAAGCCAUCAAGUUGUGUACUACGUGGAUGUGCAAGAGUUUAAUUCCUUCUCAAAGGGAAUAAAUCACGUUAGUUAUUUCUUUGAACGGUUACAGCCACCUGAACGACCAAAACUUACACGCAGAUGGAAGUUUAUCACGUGGAAGAUCAUGAGUUUAAAUGAGUCUGGGUGGGGGCCGCCAUGUUGGAAAAAAUAGAUCAAGGAGCAAUCGAAUAAAAUUGUCAAACUUUAUUUUAGUAGGUCUUUGCAUGCUUGCCGAGAUGUAAAAGGCAAGUUAGUUUAAAUCUAGAAAGAGUCCAGCCUUUAGGAGGUACAUGUGCGUGCCUCUUCCAAGUUAUUUCUAUAAAUAGCUAGUUCCGGUCCAUGUAAAAGCAGGUUAUAUUUCGAUAAUAAACACGAUGUGUUUUUAGGGUAGACACCCGUAUCGAGUUUUGGGGGAAGCUGUCUAAAAAUCCCUAAGUUUUGGAGGAAGCUUUAGAAAACCUCUUUGUUGCGAUUUCUCUUCGUGGAAAUUGUUUUGCGCGUGAGUGCCGUCGUCGAGAUUGGUUCUCUCGUGCUGGACCGUAAGGUUCAAUCCCUCUAUUUCGCGUACAUCGCGUGCGCGGGCGAGAGGUUACUACUGCUGAAGAUGGAGUGUCGUGAAAGGUCGGGCCGCAACAACGGAUCGGAUCUCGCCACGAGGUCCGGUCUACAUCAGGUGGUAUUCAGAGCGUCAGGUUGUUCACGGCACUACGGAGAAGAUGGCGAUUGCAUCGUUAUUCAGUAAGUUAAGCUAUGGAUUUCAGUUGGAGGAGGAAGGUCGUUGGACUGGCCUUUUUCACACCCGUGUGGUAGUGAGAGAGAGAUCAUGUGCUAUGACGAUCAAUCACAUGAAUUUGAUCAACGCAGCAAGCAUCGAGAUGGUGAAGAAGCUGGAGAUACCAAUAACAGCACAUCCAAAACCAUACUUUUUCCGUUGGGGUCAUGAAGAGCUCACUGUCAUGCACCAAACUAAGGUACCGUUUUUGUUGGGAAAAUUCUUUUGCGAGGUUUUGUGCGAUGUGAUUCCAGCGCCGAUGGUUUCGUGCCACUUGUUGUUGGGUGAGCCAUGGUACAAAGAGCAUGAUGUAGUGUAUGAUUAUCACACACACAUAUACUGUCAAGAAGGGUAAAAAGUGCAAUCUUGUGCCCAUGGAUGAGGAGCGUUUCAUUACAUGGAGGAAAGAACAUCUUGAGAAGAUAAAAAAGCAAGAAGAAGAAGAAAGGAAGAAGGCCGAAGCUGCUGCAAUUGUUACUAUCGUCGUCGUUCAGUCUGCAAAUAAAAAUAUUGUUGAGAUCAACUCGAAACCGAGGACGGUUUCGUUUCAAGGAGGAGAGGAUGAUAUGCCCGCGUGUAAUUUAAGUGCGAUGAUCAGUGUUGAUACAACAACGUAUUCAUCUAGUACUGAAUAUGCUACAGAUGUUUUUCAAGAUGAAGAUGGAUUUGUAGGCAUCACAUCUAAGCGUGACACAGUUGUACAAAUAAUGAGCAAGUAUGGAGUUAUGUUUCUAUAUUCCCCUAAAUCAGGACGUGAAGGAGCACACAUGCAUGGGUGUGGGUCCAGCCAAAAGUCAAUUAGAAGCCAUCAAGUUGUGUACUACGUGGAUGUGCAAGAGUUUAAUUCCUUCUCAAAGGGAAUAAAUCACGUUAGUUAUUUCUUUGAACGGUUACAGCCACCUGAACGACCAAAACUUACAUGCAGAUGGAAGUUUAUCACGUGGAAGAUCAUGAGUUUAAAUGAGUCUGGGUGGGGGCCGCCAUGUUGGAAAAAAUAGAUCAAGGAGCAAUCAAAUAAAAUAGUCAAACUUUAUUUUAGUAGGUCUUUGCAUGCUUGCCGAGAUGUAAAAGGCAAGUUAGUUUAAAUCUAGAAAGAGUCCAGCCUUUAGGAGGUACAUGUGCGUGCCUCUUCCAAGUUAUUUCUAUAAAUAGCUAGUUCCGGUCCAUGUAAAAGCAGGUUAUAUUUCGAUAAUAAACACGAUGUGUUUUUAGGGUAGACACCCGUAUCGAGUUUUGGGGGAAGCUGUCUAAAAAUCCCUAAGUUUUGGAGGAAGCUUUAGAAAACCUCUUUGUUGCGAUUUCUCUUCGUGGAAAUUGUUUUGUGCGUGAGUGCCGUCGUCGAGAUUGGUUUUCUCGUGCUGGACCGUAAGGUUCAAUCCCUCUAUUUCGCGUACAUCGCGUGCGCGGGCGAGAGGUUACUACUGCUGAAGGUGGAGUGUCGUGAAAGGUUGGGCCGCAACAACGGAUCGGAUCUCGCCACGAGGUCCGGUCUACAUCAACGAGACACACCCAAAUACACCGGCUCCGUGAAGCCGGAGGACUGGCUGGUCGACUACUCCACAGCCGUCAGCAUAGCAAACGGCAACAAGCGCGUUGCCGUGAAGUACGUCCCGCUCAUGCUUCAAGGCACUGCUCGGACGUGGCUCAACAGCCUGAAGCCCCGCAGCAUCAACAGCUGGGUCGAUUUCAUCGAGGCCUUCAUCCGCAACUUCACCAGCACUUACAAGCGGGCCCCCAAGCCCCGACAGCUCUCUUUAUGCGUCCAAGGGCCCACCGAGUCCACUCGCGACUACCUCACGCGCUGGACCGAGCUGCGCAAUUCCUGCGAGGGCGUGCACGAGGUGCAGGCAAUCGAGUACUUUACUGCCGGGUGCCGAGAGGGCACCCUCCUCAAGCAUCGCCUCCUCUGUGACGAGCCCGAGACCCUUGAUGAGAUGCUGGUCAUCGCCGACAAGCACGCCACGGCCGACUCCUCCAUGAAGGCAGAAAUACUGGUUGAUGCGUCUGGAAAGGUGGCAUCCCAGGCACCUCGGACUCCGGCUGGCGACACCAGUCGGCGACAGCAGCCAGGAGAUAACAAGCGAAAGGCCAUUCAGCCGGCUUCCACUAGCCGGCAGGUGGCGACAGUCGAGGAUCAGCAGCCAGAAGGGCAGCCAACACCCAAGCGGCAGAAGGGCGGAAGUCCAACUGGUUGCCCGCCUUUUCUUACGAGCAAACUUUAGAUGCACCCUGCAAGUUCCAUAGCGGAGCGAAGCCCUCCAGCCACACCACUCGGAAGUGUCACUGGCUCACCAGAAUUGCCAAGGAAGAUGGACUCCUGCCUCCUCCGCCUGCUGGACCGCCGCCUCCUCAGCCCCAGCAGCCGGCGGCCCGACCAGUCGGCACCAUCCAGGAUGAGUACCCGGAGGAACACGGAGCUUAUGUUGUGUUCAUCAGCGUGGCCGAUGACAGACGCAGCAGACGGCAACAACAACAAGAAGUGCAAGCAGUGGCCUCCAGCACCCCAGAGUUCAUGCAUUGGUCCGAGAAGCCUAUCAGUUGGAGCAGGGCCGACCACCCGGAAGUGAUGCCUUCCCCUGGUUCGUACGCCCUGGUCCUAGAAGCGACCCUUGCAACGGAGAGACGAGCAGCCCGUUUCUCCAGAGUCUUAAUAGAUGGCGGCAACAACAUCAACAUCCUGUAUCGUGAUACGAUGGAGAAGCUGGGAAUCAAGCAGAAGCAGCUUGUCCCCAGUCAGACUGUAUUCUAUGGCAUAGUCCCUGGCCUUUCCUGCUCACCAAUCGGCAAGACCCAGAUUGAUGUCCUCUUCGGAGACAAGAAUCACUUUCGCCGAGAGCCAGUUUGGUUUGAAGUGGUGGACCUUCAGAGCCCUUACCAUGCACUGCUAGGCCGGCCUGCUCUGGCCAAAUUCAUGGCAGUCCCCCACUACGCCUACCUCAAGAUGAAGAUGCCGAGUACCAAGGGAAUCCUGACAGUAGUCGGAGACUACAAGAAGUCGGUCGCGUGCGCCGCAGAUAGCAGCCGGCUGGCCGAGUCCCUCGUGAUUGCAGUGAGAAGCGGCUCCUUGACCGGGUGGUGGCUUUGGCAGGCAAGAAGCCGGAAAUGUCACCCGCACCCCAGGAGUCAGAAGCUGAGGGUUCGUUCAAACCGGCCAAGGAAACAAAGAAAAUACCCUUGGACCCAGAGCACCCGGAGAGGCACGCUGUCAUAGGCACAGGCCUUGACAGCAAAUAGGAAGGCGAGCUCGUCGAUUUCCUCCGUGAGAAUCGGGACAUCUUCGCAUGGUCCCCCAAAGACAUGCCGGGUGUUCCGACGGAUUUCGCCGAGCACAAGCUACAUGUCCGACCUGACGCCAAGCCGGUCAGGCAGCCCUUUCGCCGCCUGUCAGAAGAGAAGAGAAGAGUUGUCGGAGAAGAGAUAGCCCGGCUCCUAGCAGCCGGAUUCAUCAUGGAAGUAUUUUUUCCAGAAUGGCUGGCCAACCCAGUCCUAGUGUUGAAAAAAAACAAGCAGUGGCACAUGUGCAUUGACUACACCAGCCUCAACAAAGCCUGACCCAAAGAUCCCUUUGCUCUGCCGAGGAUUGAUCAAGUGAUCGACUCCACAGCCGGAUGUGAGCUGUUGAGUUUCUUGGAUGCAUACUCAGGAUAUCACCAGAUAAAGCUAAACCCGGCCGACAGGUUGAAGACCGCCUUCAUCACGCCAUUUGGAGCCUUCUGCUACCUGACCAUGACGUUCGGCUUGAGAAAUGCCGGCGCCACGUUUCAGCGUUGCAUGCAGAAGUGCCUCCUCAAGCAACUUGGCAGAAAUGCCCAUGUAUAUGUGGAUGAUGUGGUGGUGAAGACGGAGAAGCGUGGCACUCUGCUUGAGGACCUCAAGGAGACCUUUGAGAACCUGCGCUGAUUCCAGAUUAAGCUCAACCCGGAGAAAUGUGUCUUUGGAGUACCAGCCGGCCAGCUUCUUGGUUUCCUGGUCUCAGAGCGCGGCAUAGAGUGCAAUCCUAUGAAGAUCAAGGCAAUUGAGAUGAUGAAGGUGCCCACCCGACUGCUGGACGUGCAGAAAUUCACCGGCUGCCUGGCGUCAGUCAGCCGUUUCAUCAGCCGGCUGGGCGAGAAGGCUCUUCCCCUGUACCAACUCAUGAAGAAGACCAUUUUUUUUGAGUGGAACGACAAGGCGGACGAAGCAUUUCUCCAACUCAAGAAGAUGUUGGCAACCCCGCCUAUCCUGGCAGCUCCGACUGAGAAGGAGCCCAUGCUCCUCUACAUUGCAGCCACCAGUCGGGUCGUCAGCAUAGUCAUGGUAGUAGAGCGCAAGGAGAAGGACAAAGCAUUGCCGGUCCAGAGACCGGUGUAUUACUUGAGCGAAGUAUUGUCCGCCUCCAAGCAAAACUACCCCCACUACCAGAAGAUGUGUUACAGCGUGCAUUUUGCCUCCAAGAAGCUGAAGCCUUACUUCCAAGAGCACCCCAUAACUGUCAUCUGCACAGCUCCGCUUGCUGAGAUCAUUGGAAGCCGGGAUGCCUCAGGCCGAGUGGCCAAAUGGGCUAUUGAUCUGGCCCCCUACACCAUCUAUUACCAGCCUCGCACCGCCAUCAAGUCACAGGUGUUGGCCGACUUCCUCGUCGAUUGGGCUGAAACCCAAUAUCUGCCGCCUGCACCAGACUCCACUCACUGGCGGAUGCAUUUCGAUGGUUCAAAAAUGCGCACUGGCCUGGGAGCCGGCGUCGUCCUCACCUCUCCCAAAGGCUACAAGCUUAAAUAUGCACUACAAGUCCACUUCGCCGCCUCCAACAACGUAGCAGAGUAUGAGGCACUCAUACACGGGCUCCGGCUUGCCAAGGAACUCGGCAUUCGCCGGAUCCUGUGUUAUGGUGACUCCGACUUGGUGGUCCAGCAGUCUUCGGGCGACUGGGACGCCAAGGAUGCGAACAUGGCGAGCUACCGCUUCCUGGUGCAGCAACUCAGCGGAUACUUCGAUGGGUGCGAGUUCCUUCACGUGCCAAGGAAUGACAACGAGCAAGCAGAUGCCUUGGCACGGAUUGGCUCCACCCGACAAGCAAUACCGGUCGGCGUCGCCCUACGCCGCCUUCUGAAGCCGUCUGUCAGGCCUUCUCCUGAUUCAGACUCUAUCUUUGUGCCGGCCCUCCCCGAAGCAGUCGGAUCCGACUUGGUGACUCCAGAGGCCGGCACAAGGGUUUUGACAGGCGGCCCGGGGAAUGCUACAGCCAUGACCGACCUGGGGGCUUCAGAACCCGGCCCGGGGACUUCAGAGCCCGGCCCGGGGACUUCUUCAGCACAGCAGGCGGAAGCAGCCGCCAACCCACCGCCUUCCGGCCCAACCGCCCUCGUACAAGUUGCAGAGGUUGCAGUCGAAGAAAUUGCGGCGCCCUCAUGGGAUCAGCCGAUCCUCAAGUUCCUGGUGAAUAAGGAGCUGCCAACCGAUGAAAUCUUAGCUCGACAAGUACAGAGGCGAGCUGCAGCAUACACCAUAGUCAACAAAGAGCUGGUGCGAAGAAGCGUCACAGGAGUUUAUCAGAGGUGCGUGGAGCCGGACCAAGGCCAAGCAAUACUCAGAGAUAUCCAUCAGGGCGAGUGCGGCCACCACGCGGCUUCAAGAGCACUGGUGGCCAAAGCCUUCCGCCACGGUUUCUUCUGGCCGACCGCCCUAUAAGAGGCCAAAGAGCUGGUCAAGAAGUGUCAAGGGUGCCAGCGAUUCCGUUCCAAGCCGCACCAGCCAGCUUCUGCACCCAAGACCAUUCCCAUAGCCUGGCCCUUUGCCGUGUGGGGAUUGGAUAUGGUGGGACCAUUCAAAACAGCCCGCGGGGGCAUGACUCACUUGCUGGUUGCGGUGGACAAGUUCACUAAGUGGAUAGAGGCGAAACCAAUCAAGAAGCUGAAUGGGCCGACUGCCUUGACCUUCAUCGCCGACAUCACCACGCGGUACGGCAUCCCACACAGCAUCAUCACCGACAACGGCACCAACUUCGCCAAGGGAGCCUUGACUCGUUUCUGUGCGACACAGGGCAUCCGCCUGGACCUAGCGUCCGUUGCCCACCCACAGUCAAACGGCCAGGUGGAACGCGCAAACGGCCUCAUUUUGUCCGGCCUCAAGCCCCGACUGGUCGAGCCUCUGGAGCGCUCGACCGACUGCUGGCUCGACGAGCUGCCGGCCGUCCUCUGGAGCCUGCGCACAACUCCAAACAAAUCAACGGGCUUCACGCCUUUCUUCCUCGUCUAUGGCGCCGAAGCCGUCAUCCCGACGGAUAUCGAAUUUGACUCCCUAAGAGUCACUAUGUACACCGAAGCGGACGCCAAGGAAGCACGAGAAGACAGCGUUGACUUGCUGGAGGAAGGCCGGUUGUUGGCACUCAGCCGGUCGGCCAUCUACCAGCAGAGUCUACGCCGAUACUACAACCGCAAGGUGAAGCCAAGGUCCUUCCUGGAGGGAGACCUUGUGCUCCGGCUGAUCCAGCGAACAGCCGGACAGCACAAGCUCUCGGCACCUUGGGAAGGCCCUUUCGUCAUCAGUAAGGUGUUAGGCAACGAUGCCUACUAUCUGAUCAAUGCACAGAAGCCCAGGGCGCGCAAGGGAGAUGAUUCAGGCAAAGAAACGGAGAGGCCGUGGAAUGCAAACCUCCUACGAAGGUUUUACAGUUGAAAGCAGUAUGUAUCACGCUAUCCUUUUGUACUAUGUAUGAAGACUCCGGGUCCCCCGAGGAAAGCUCGGGGACUGCCCUCUUUUUAUCUAUAUGAUAAGCGCCAUGCCCAUGAGAAUGUAUGGUCUAUUUUCUUCCGCCUGGCCUGGGUUCGACCAGUCGGCCUGAAGCUUCGCCGCCUUCUGCAAUAUGCCGCCUCCCGCAGCCGGACAAGUAGUGUGCUGGCACCAAAGUUUCCUUUGUCAGAAGCCACAGCUCACAGAGCGACUGUAUGGCAGGCAAAGGUUGCAAAGAGGUGCCCCAUUCGUGCGGAGCUUCGCCGCCUUCCUCGACCACCUCCGGCACAAAGACAUUGGUGUCGGUGAAGUCGGCGAUCGCCGCUGCCCUGUUGACGAGUUCGGUUUCCAUCGCCGCCAGCUCCUUCUGCGCAUCCAGCCGGAACGUGGCUAACUGGGCUAGAUCUAGCCCAGGGUACCACGCCUUGACGAAUUCCAAGGCCCAGCGCGCUCUUGCCCGGGCUGCUGAGCCCUUCCAGGCCUCCAAGCGGCCGGCCGCCACCCCCAGCCAGUCGGCAGUCCGACUUGGGGUACGCGGAGCCGGCAGGCCCGGCCAGAGGGCAGAGACCGCCUGGGCUCCGGCGCGCUGGAGACGGCGCAACAGUCGGUGGGCAGGCCGAAGCCGGGCCUGGAUGCUGAGGACCUGUUCGCCAAGAGUCCGCAGCGCAUCUGCGGCGAUCUGCGCACCUCCCGCUCUUCGCUCCUCGCGCUGGGCCUCGAUCAUUUGGAUCGCGGCUACAGAAUGGCCUGGGAAGAAGUCUGUACGGGCAGAAGAAGAAAAAAAGGGGGAUCAGGACCAUAAGCAGGCGCCGGCUGCUCAAAGAAAGAAAUCAGGGGAGCAGGGCUUACCAUCGACCAAGUCUUCAAUGCUGCUAAAGCAGGCCGUCACCUGGGCCUACUUGUUGGCCCAAGCAGAGCGUUCGAGCUCAAACUCGGCAAGGAGGCUGGUCUUCGCCGUCUCCGCCUUCUGCUGGGCCGCCUUGAGGGUUUCCGCCUGUUCGGCAAGUUGGGCGACCAGGCGGUCCCGCUCCUCUGCCAGCUUGCUGCACUCCGCCUCCUUGCCACGAAGGGCGGUUUGGGCCUCCCCCAGCUGCUGCUGCAGGGCGGCAUUAGCCUCUGAAGAAGGAAAGAAGAAAAGAAGGCAUCAUCAAGCAUAAAAGACAAAGGAAAGAAACGAUCAAGGAGAUUCGGCCCGACUGCUCGGCAGUCGGCCCGAACCUCGGGGACUAUAGCUUGCGGGUGCGCCAGCGCGCCCCCGCGAGGAAAGAAGAAAGAGACUCACGCCGGCUUUCGGCGAGAUGGGCCGUUUGCGCCUCCAGCUCCCGAACCUUGGAGUUAUAGGCGGUCGCACGGAGGUUAUGAUAAUCCUGCCGAAGAAACAUCGAAAUAAAGUCAGCAAUCGACAAUCACAAGUUAAAGUUCCGACCUGCCUGCUCAGCAGCCGGCCCGGAACUUGGGGACUACACCCAGUGGGUGCGCUUGCGCACCCCCACGAAAGAAGCAAAGAAGAACACUCGAAGAAGAAGCCAAAGACGGCUUACCCGGAUGGCGGUGCGCAACUCCAAGUAGGCCUCGUUGCAGCGCUUGAGUGCCACUGCCUCCGCUCGGAGCUUGGCCUGGACGUCAAGAGACGCCUCGUUCAGGGCGCCAGUUCCGCCCCCGUGCACCCAACCCACGGGCGCGGCACUGGUCGCCUCGGUGUCAAGGGCCGAUGAGCUCGAGGCGCCGAUCUCCUGCGGCCGCAGCGCCGAGGCCGCCUUCUCCAGAUAGCGGCGCGUGGGAAUGCGGACCGCGGGAACCAGGACCGUUGCCACCAGAGUCCCGACCGGUGGCACCGGCGGCGCCACUGGCUGUUCGACCCGCGGCUCGCUGGCUGGCGGAGGCGGCGGCGGGGGCGGCGGCACAAAGACGUCCGGCAUGGCUACGUCCCCGCCCCCCUGCUCUCGGAUCGGGUAGUCGCCGCCGGCUCCUCUGGCCGUUGCCUCGAAAUCAGGCGGAGGCGGCGCGGUAUUUAGAGGGGCCACAAGUAGUGGCUCUUGCCGGCGGGCGGCCUCCGCAAGCCGUUCCUUCUCUGCGGCCAGGGCUUCUGCCUGCGCCAGCACCCUCUCGGCAGACGCAGCAGACAAGUCCGCCUGCUCCUUGGCCAGGCGGUCGGCUUCCGCCUCCUUGCGCGCCUCCCGCGCAUUCCGCUCUGUCGCCUCCCGAAGGUCGACGGCCGGGUCGAUGCGCCGGCUAGUCGAGGAGGUCGCCGCCGACCUGAGGACCGAGCCAGCGCCCAACUUCUCAAGGGUCAGCGGGGCCCUGAAAUAAGAAGACAAAUCAGAAGAUUUUCACGGCAAAAUGAUGAAAAAACAAGGAGAAAAGGAAUGACGCUUACGCUGACACCAUAACAGGCACCUUUGGCUGCCUCUGGUGCUGGGCCGCCUUGGCCGCGGUCUCUCUCCGCCUGGUCACCGCGGCCGGGUUCUUGGGCUUCUUGGGAGCGCUGCCGAACAGGGCCGAGCCCUGUUUCCGUUUGCGCUUACCACCGGGGGUGGGCAGCCCAGAAGAGGGGCCGGCGCCGGUGGUGGCGGAGCUCCGGGCGGGGCGCGGCUCGUCGUCGUCUUCGUCGUCGUCGGGCCAAGCCCCCACGCCGCCGCCUCCCUCGGAGUCGCCUGCUCCGCUACCGCCGUCCGCUCUGCCUCCGUCGCCUGUCGCGUCGUCGACCAGGGCGGCCGCCCCCAAGUCGGGGUCAUCCACGUCACUCUCCGCCCUGUCCGCCUGGAGGUUAUCACCCGGCCCCAGGAGGGCGGCCGUUGCCUCGGACAUAUAAAUCUGCAACCAAUAAGGAAUCAAGUCUUGAACGGCGGCGCCAUAAAGAGAAAUGAAGCGGAAGAAAGCAGCUCAAAGGACAAAGACGAGAAACCUACCGCAGGGGGCGGGUUGUGGCGAGAGUACGACCGCUUCCCGUACCGCCACUCCUUCUCCGACAUCUUGAGGUUGGAGAUCUCGUUCACCAUCCGCGAGACUUCGGCAGGCGACAUUCCUUCGUGCACAGCCGGCACGGAUCGCGGUGUCCGCCCAUCCGGAAGAUCGGAUGAGGGCGGCUCUGGAGCGGGAGGACCCGGCGCUCGACGAAGGCGACGAGGAGGUCGGAGGCCACGAGGCCCUCCGACUCCUGGAGCACACGGAGUCGGCCAAUGGCGGCCGCCGCGUCCGCCGACACCGGUUUCGGCUUGUACCCCCAGGUGGGCCGAGCCUCGGUGGGGGGGCCAGCCUCGUAGGCCGGCAGGUUGAGGAAGUCGGCAGCCGGGUCCACGUUCUCGACGUAGAAGUAGGACUGCUGCCACAUCUUCACCGACUGCGCCAGCUUGAUGACGGGGAAGGCGUUCCGCUUCGCCGGUCGGCGCACGGCAACGAAGCCCCCGCACUCGGCCGCCGUCUCCCUAGCGAAGGUGCCGAGCUUCCCAUAAAAGAACGCUCCCCACAGCUCGAUGGUGGGGAGGAUGCCGAGGUAGCCCUCGCACGCCGUGACGAAGGCGGAGAGCAGGGUCACGGCGUUGGGCGUGAGAUGGUGGGGUUGAAGGUUGUAGAAGUUGAGGAAGGCGCGGAAGAAGUUGCUCGCCGGGAGGCCGAAGCCCCGCAGGAAAUGCGAGCGGAAGACGACCCGCUCGCCUUCCUGCGGCGCCGGCGAGAUCUCCGUCUCCGGCGGCACCCGCGCCUUGACGAAGGCCGCGCUGGGCAUCCGGCGCGUGUCGCGAAGGAAGGUGAUGUGGUCCUCGAUCACGGUCGACCCAUCCCAGUCGCCCAUGGCCCCGGCUGGCGGCGCGGAGGGGAGAAACACGUCGGUGACGAGCAACGACGAGCAACUAUGGCAGCGCUACGGCAGCAACGGCGGAAGCUGAGAGAGAAGAAGAAGAGUGGGAGGGGGCGCAGGAACUUUGCCGCACCUCUCCCUCCUCCCUACUUAUAGCGCCCGAGCUAUGUAGCCGAGGGGGCGGGACGUGGGGGCGUGGGAUUAACUGCGCCCACGACCCCACGACCCCCCGUCUCCCGCGCGCAUUUACUCCGUCAUAAACAGUCGUGGGGAUGGCAACCGCCCCCUCUGGCGCAGUGAAUCCGCCCGGUUGCCGAGGCGUGGUAGUGGCGGGCCCGGCCCGGUGUCACGUCCCAUCCAGAGCGUGGGAUGGCAGGCUUGCCAGGCUGACGCGGGCCGUGUGGCGCGUCCGUGGCGGGCGGCUGCCUCGGAAGCUUAACAGGCACGCCACCUGUUUCCCGCCUGGAAGUUCAAAAUCAACCGUAUAGCUCCGCCUGUGAGUGGUCGGCUAGAGCAGUCGGCUGGCCACCAGACGGAUCGACAUUUUUCCAGAGCCCGGGAGGGAAGAAGCCGCUGAGACCUCGCGGCCCUUCGACCACGACGCAUCACCGGCUUCGGGGACUACUGUCGAAGUAAUGGGCCACGGGUAGGCUCACCUGAGUCCCAAGAUUUACCAAGACUUUGGGCCAGCUCCGCCUAGCUGGGCCCCAAGCCGAAACUCUGCCCUCUGGGGCCGGCUGGCUCAGUGGCCGGCUGCCAGAGGGCGGGUGACCCAAGAGGGCGGCAACGGGCAGGUGGCCACCUCACAACUACGGGCGGCCGAGCUCCCAUCAAGAGUACAAGGCAGGGCAUGGCUACAGUGAAGCACGUCGCCUCCCACACUUGAGACGGGCGUGGCUACAGUGCUCCGUACAGACGGAGAUCUCCGCACGACGGAGCACUGUGCCAUAUCUACCCUGACGUCGUUCUGGGCAGGCGGAGUCCUGUUCCCCACGACGGCCUGUCGGUACGGCCCACCGGAGGCGGGCCCUAUCAGGCAGUGACCCCAAGGAAGACGGCGGAAGCUCGACCAAGCGGAUUCAAGAGGAGCCGGCCUCCAGCAGGCGGCUGUCCCUUAUCCCGAGGCAUGCACGCCAUUAAGCUGAUGAGACCAGGUGUGGCUACAGUGGCCUCUCGCCAGGCGGCGGGACUGUAGCCACGCAAAGGUGACCAAGCUCUCGUCACCAACGACGCGGCUACAGUAAGCAGCCACCAACCAGUCGGCGGGGCCCACCAGGCGGCGGGCCCCAGCGGUCGGCGGAGAAGCCGGAGGCUGGAGACACUGACAGCCGGGCCCAACAGCCGGCCAGAUUACCAUUGUACCCCUGGGGGGUAGGCCUAUAUAAACCCCCCAGGCCACCCAUGCAAAGGGUUUGACCCCAUUAGAACUAGCCACCCCUUAGAGCAGGAAGAGAGCUAAGCCUUGCCUCCUCCUGCCUCUAGCGCACAGCUCGAGGAGCACCAUUGUAUCACUUGUGCCUUAGUGAUCAUGCGGAGACCCCGCAGAGCAGGACUAGGGGUGUUAUCUCCUAGGAGAGCCCCGAACCUGGGUAAAGUACGCCGGCGUUCGUGUCUACGCCUUAUCCCGCUUCCAGGCACCGGCGACGUUCUACUCGCUCCCACCAUGAUAAGCCAUCCAUUGGCAUAUGUCGCACCCAACCCCCGACAGCAGUUUUGUGCCUUCUUGCCGUUCUUAUUCUAAUACUGGACAAUAUUAUACGCAUUUUGGUGUUGUUCGAGAAAAGAGUGCAAAUUUCAGCCGAUAGUACCUUUAAUAUUUGUCUUUCCUUUUAUAUCCAGUUGUUCAAAUGUGCACCUCGCUGUUAUUUGCAUUUGAAGUAUUCUCUGAUAUUUGUUCUGAUUAUUAUCUUUGUUUUCAUUGGAGAAGUGGUUUACUAAUAAGUACAAAAAUUGCAACCAAAUGUACAGCAACACUUGACAUAAAUCACACAUCUCAUUCUUUAAUCUUUAUAUAUUUUGUUCUCAUAGAAGUUACAUUAAUUCUUGUGAACUGCUAAGCUGAUCAUUUGUUGACUAUUAACUUAAUUAGGCUUAGUAGCCUGUCAGGGUUUAUAAAUGCACUUACACGGUUACACCACAUGUGAUGGACUGAUCGUGUACCUGUUUACUCUGAUAAAAUCUUCUUGUCAGUUUUUUCUUCUGUUUAACAUGGGACUGAAUUAUUGCGUGGAUCCGAAAAGAACCACCUGCUACUGUAGAUUAAAAAAUUGUAGGAAUGCUUGCAAUCAUUGUAACGAUGGGCAUAUGUUUAUUGUCGUGUUAUGUGUUACUUUGCAUAGUCCAUGUCUUCAUGCUUGCUUGAAACAAUGCAACCUUUUGCCACUGUCUACUUUACAAUAAAUACAAUUUGCAUGGAAAAUUCCAAAAAAAAUAUUAACACUAAAAUUUGAGAGAAGUGCUCAUAUAUCAUAUUAUUAUAUUCUGGUCACUUUUCGGGUUAGUUGCUAGCUCAUUUCCCUGUCAGACUCUCACCUAAAGGUAGGCCAUUAUGAAUCAGUCAUUUUUACUAUUUUCUCCUGUGGCAAAUUUUAGCAUGGUCCCUCUUACCUCCCCUUUUCACAUGAGAGGUGAGAGUACAUAAUAGAUCUGAGCCAUUGAUUUGAUUAAAUAGUGGUCUGAUUUACUCUUACCUUCUUACCUCCCAUGUGAAAAGAGGGGGUAAGAGGUAGCAUGUUAAAAUUACUCUUCUCCUGUUAUAUAUAUGACCCUCUCUCUCAUUUUUGCGAUGUAGCCACAUGUUCUGUUAGUACUUCAUUAACCUCUUAUUCCGCGAGUGUCAGUCCUUAACCCAAUGCGUAGUCUCUUACAUAUUCUGCCUUUAUUUGAAUGUAUGAUUUUAUAUCAAACACAAAGAAAUUAUGUUACCUCUUUUACGGUACCCUGAUACUCCGAAAGCAUGCAUUGGAGUACCAGGCAGAUUUGGCCGUCCACACGGACGGGCAACCCCAUCAUUUCCCAAAUGGUACGAAAGGGUAUUUUUAGACUUCUUCUCUGCCAUUCUGAUAGAGCCCACAGCUCCCUGGUCCUGCCCUUGCUGUGCCGUCGUGCCCUAGCACGCGCCGCAGGUUAUCCAAGUUUGAGGGCGGCGCCCCAGCCCCCAGGUCCUGCCCUCUCCGUGCCGUUGUGCCUCAGCGCGCGCUGCCAUCAUCCCUGUCAAGCGUCUUCGGUCGAGCUGCCACCCCACAACAGGUUCCCCCCCGCCGAGCAAGUUCCCCACAUGAAGAACUCUUAGGAAUCUUAGAAUUUAUAUAUGAACUACAUGCCAAAUUGGCGUCAAAAUUGCCAUCGUUUAAGCUGUCUUAGAUCCUAUGAGCAUAAAAAUUUCCAGCAUGCAGCUUGCGUUGUGCACAAAUAGUUGAAGAGAACAAAUGCGCUUCAGCUUGUGCAGAAACUAUCAGCUGCGGCUUAUCAGAUUAAGAUGCAGCAGUGGUUGUUCUAACACUUCCCGUGAUGCUCUGGCACCGUCCGUAGCAGACGUGUGCUCAUUCAGAAUGCAGAAUUGUCUUUGUUUUCGCCAUCAAUCUUACCAACAAAGGUUAAUCCAAUAUGACAACUCUGUUUUUUUAAAUAUGAUUAUUAGGCCAAGCUGCUGCGAAUGAAUUGCAGAUGCCAAAUUUUGAUACCUUUUCAUAGAAGAAAAGAAGUUAACAUAUAAGAUUAUACUGACUACAACAUUUCUUAUAUGGUGUGUUCAUAAGAAUAAGAAUGAAAAUUUGGCCUUCACUGUGAGCCCCCCAUGGAAUCCUUCCUUGUUCCAUGCUGAAUUCUGAUUGCAUUUUUCUGUUCUGUCAGGGCUGUUGGCCUUUUUGUUUGCCCUUUGGAUUUUUUUUAUUCUUUUGGUUAUUCUACAAUAUCUACUGCAAUACAUGGAAUCCUUGACCGCCUCUUACAAUGAAUUAAGUCAUUUGCAAUUUAACCCUGUGACUGUGAGUCUAAUAACACUGAUCUUACACAUUUUUCUAAUAUUUUUACUUACCUACAGAUGCCAUGUGCGCCUGCACCCAAGGGGUGUCAACUUCUGCAAGUACAAGCGUGGUAACAGCAAGCAGAUGAGGCCAGAGAAGAAGAUCAACGACUAGAGUGCCACCAGUCAGUUUAAUGGACCUGUUGAAAUCCAUCGCCGUGUCAAAGUUUAUGCUUCGUUAUUGUCUCCUGUGGUCGUUGAACCUUGUUUACUUUGCUUUCAGCCUCAUAUUGGUUUGGUGAUCUUUGAAAGAAAAUUUGUAUCGUGAGUAUGAUAAAAGUAGAUAAUGUUGCCGCGUAAAUUGUGGUCAUUUUCAUCCUACAGUCUGCUCUUAUAAAAUGUCUGUGCAGAAGAAUGUGUGAUCACACUGCUGACAUAGAGUUUUUAUC
rnacentral:lncRNA from 1 species